GACUUUGGAGGGAGAUACCUUAAGUGAUUUACUCUGGGUCACAAAGAGGCGUCCUUGUCAGAGAAGAAACAUGCUCUUUUAUGGUGACUAAAUAAUGUAUAAAUCACUUCAAACAAAAAACACGUAAUGCUGAAUUAGUAUUUCUUUAGUAACUAAAACAGCAUUUCCUGAAUUCUCUGGAAGUUUCCUUGGACAUCUUCCACUGGAGUACAAAUGAGCCCCAAUCCAAUGAAUUCUUGGAGAAGAAAUGACGUUACGAAAGGACUACAUGGCAUUUUUGUUUGUUUGUUUUUUCAGGAAUACGUGGAUGGACGUGAGACAAAAAGUAGGCAGCCAAGCGCAUUUCGUAAAAUUGAGGGGGGUGAGGGGGAAGAUCAGUUAAUGAUCAAGACACUGCCAACUGGGAAGGACUGGGACUGAGCUUGUUGGUUCAGCAUGAGCUACUGAGGAACUAGUACUUUUGUGUCUCUGUCUACCACUAAUGGAUGCUGAGUUUAGAGCCAGAGGACCUGCCACAGGCCGGCUGUGGCAAAGCAAGGUGACCCUCCAGCAAAGGCCGCAAGUAGACAACCGGGCCAAGAGGCUUAAGGAAAAACAUCAGAAACUCAGGGUUCUGUAGCUCUUCAGAAUUGAAGAGAAGCAGAGUCAGUGAGUAGGAAAUGUUCCUGUUCCUCAGUCUGCAAGUCCUGAGCCACCCGAGUGGCUUAGUCGGAAACAAGAAGAGACCAGUGUUGGCCGCAGUGUCCUCAUUUCUUCACCCUAUUCUUUUUUCUGGUUUGGUUGCAGAUAUGCCUGAGAAGAUUAAGUCACAAUAAAAACUGUUCUCCUUACCAAA